GAUGAACGCUGGCGGCGUGCCUAAUACAUGCAAGUCGAGCGAAUGGAUUAAGAGCUUGCUCUUAUGAAGUUAGCGGCGGACGGGUGAGUAACACGCGGGUAACCUGCCCAUAAGACUGGGAUAACUCCGGGAAAACGGGGCUAAUACCGGAUAACAUUUUGAACCGCAUGGUUCGAAAUUGAAAGGCGGCUUCGGCUGUCACUUAUGGAUGGACCCGCGUCGCAUUAGCUAGUUGGUGAGGUAACGGCUCACCAAGGCAACGAUGCGUAGCCGACCUGAGAGGGUGAUGGGCCACACUGGGACUGAGACACGGCCCAGACGCCUACGGGAGGCAGCAGUAGGGAAUCUUCCGCAAUGGACGAAAGUCUGGCGGAGCAACGCCGCGUGAGUGAUGAAGGCUUUCGGGUCGUAAAACUCUGUUGUUAGGGAAGAACAAGUGCUAGUUGAAUAAGCUGGCACCUUGACGGUACCUAACCAGAAAGCCACGGCUAACUACGUGCCAGCAGCCGCCGUAA
rnacentral:rRNA from 1 species